GCGGUAAUUCCAGCUCCAAUAGCGUAUAUUAAAGUUGUUGCGGUUAAAAAGCUCGUAGUUGGAUCUGUGUUUCACGCUGUCGGUUCACCGUUUUGUCGGUGUCUAACUGACAUGUCGUGGUACGUCCUGCCGGUUGGCGGCGUUGGCGUUUCCUUACGGUUGCGUCGCGUCUGCCAGUCCCAAUCCUGUCGCGGUGCUCUUCACCGAGUGUCGAGGCGGGCCGGCACGUUUACCUUGAACAAAUUUGAGUGCUUAAAGCAGGCUAUAAUCGCCGGAAAACUGUGUGCAUGGAAUAAUAUAAUAGGACCGCGGUUCUAUUUUGUUGGUUUUCAGAAUCCGAGGUAAUGAUUAAUAGGGACCGGCGGGGGCAUUAGUAUUGCGACGUUAGAGGUGAAAUUCUUGGAUCGUCGCAAGACUAACCUAAGCGAAAGCAUUUGCCAAGGAUGCUUCCAUUAAUCAAGAACGAAAGUUAGAGGUUCGAAGGCGAUCAGAUACCGCCCUAGUUCUAACCAUAAACGAUGCCAGCCAGCGAUCCGUCGAAGUUCCUCCGAUGACUCGACGGGCAGCUUCCGGGAAACUAAAGCAUUUGGGUUCCGGGGGAAGUAUGGUUGCAAAGCUGAAACUUAAAGGAAUUGACGGAAAGGCACCACCAUGGAGUGGAGCCUGCGGCUUAAUUUGACUCAACACGGGAAAACUUACCAGGUCCAGACAUAGGUAGGAUUGACAGAUUGAGAGCUCUUUCUUGAUUUGGUGGGUGGUGGUGCAUGGCCGUUCUUAGUUGGUGGAGCGAUUUGUCUGGUUAAUUCCGUUAACGAACGAGACCUCGGCCUACUAAAUAGUGCGUGGUAUGGCAACAUAGUACGUUUUUACUUCUUAGAGGGACAUGUCCGGUUUACGGGCAGGAAGUUCGAGGCAAUAACAGGUCUGUGAUGCCCUUAGAUGUCCUGGGCCGCACGCGUGCUACACUGAUACGUACAACGAGGUAUAUGUACUUGUACAUCAAUGCUGCUCCGAAAUAGACACAGCUUAAUCUUCUAAAAUACGUAUCGUGCUGCGGAUAGAUCGUUGAAAAUUUUAUAAUAACAAAUUAUGAAUCUUGAAGGUGGAAUUCCUAGUAAGCGCAGGUCAUUAGCCUGCGUUGAUUACGUCCCUGCCCUUUGUACACACCGCCCGUCG
rnacentral:rRNA from 1 species